UCACCCCAUCCGACUUCAAAGUGUAUUCUUUGAGUUUGGCAACUCACCAUUAGCAUCCAACCAAUUCUAGCGGAUCAACGGCGCCUCAACUUAGAUCCUGGUCAGCUCGCGAGAUGAUUUUCUCACGUCCUACACCGUCCACAAGAUGGGGGGCUACCUUCCAUUUCACCACCUCUCAAACACCCGAGAGGUCGGCAGACGGAUUUGAACCCGGGUCGACCGGGAGCAGAAGUCAGGCCUUAACCUCUGCCAGCCGCCUGCCUUGUUGUAGCCGGCCGCUGAAGAUAGACUAACAACGCGCGCGUGUGUGUGUAUUAAUGGUGUGAGUCGUACUGUACGACAGCUACUGUAUGGUGUCUGCGCCUAAAUACGCAAUGACUGAUGCUCUCGUGCGCUCGAUACGACCGUGUUCGUGUGCAGCAUGCAGCUACUAAAGCUUUCUGAGGUUAAAGCUAUUGCACGGCAAUCCAGAGAUCAUCAGUCCUGGAGUGCGGAAUACGGAUUGAACAUAUCAAUACGUUUGUCGGAGGCCAUGGCCUGCCUCCGCGUUUCCCAAAGAUUGUUAAAUGUUGGAGGUGUGAAAUAGACCGACACGACACAAACCCAGGUACUGUGUUGUCCUUGCUUGGAGACGACGUGGGCAUGUACAUACGGCCUGAUAUGUAGCGAUCUGAGACACCCUCAGAGCUCUCCAUGUGGCGUUCACCGUGGUUAAUUUUAACCUUAUGCACGAUAGGUAGGGCAGCAGGAAGUAUCCUGCAUGCCUGCAUAUCUCCUCUACCUAACUUCGCAGAUCGGACUUCUCCCAGUUGCCCAAUCUGGAGAGGUCUAGCUUGCCGCCCCGAUACUCAUCCGAUACCCAGCUAGGCUAUAGCUUAUUCCGCCACCAAGUUUGUAA
rnacentral:lncRNA from 1 species